GACGAACGCUGGCGGCGUGCCUAAUACAUGCAAGUAGAACGCUGAAGAGAGGAGCUUGCUCUUCUUGGAUGAGUUGCGAACGGGUGAGUAACGCGUAGGUAACCUGCCUUGUAGCGGGGGAUAACUAUUGGAAACGAUAGCUAAUACCGCAUAACAAUGGAUGACACAUGUCAUUUAUUUGAAAGGGGCAAUUGCUCCACUACAAGAUGGACCUGCGUUGUAUUAGCUAGUAGGUGAGGUAAUGGCUCACCUAGGCGACGAUACAUAGCCGACCUGAGAGGGUGAUCGCCCACCCGGGACCUGGAACACGGCCCAGACUCUUCCGGGGGCCGGCGUAAGGAAUCCUCCGCCAAUGGGGCAACCCUGACCGAGCAACGCCGCGUGAGUGAAGAAGGGUUUCGGAUCGUAAAGCUCUGUUGUAAGUCAAGAACGGGUGUGAGAGUGGAAAGUUCACACUGUGACGGUAGCUUACCAGAAAGGGACGGCUAACUACGUG
rnacentral:rRNA from 1 species